CCUACGGGAGGCAGCAGUGAGGAAUAUUGGUCAAUGGGCGCAAGGCUGAACCAGCCAAGUAGCGUGAAGGAAGACGGAUCUAUGGGUUGUAAACUUCUUUUAUAAGGGAAUAAAGGGAGCCACGUGUGCAUAUUUGCAUGUACUCUAUGAAUAAGCAUCGGCUAACUCCGUGCCAGCAGCCGCGGUAAUACGGAGGAUGCGAGCGUUAUCCGGAUUUAUUGGGUUUAAAGGGUGCGUAGGUUGGUUUUUAAGUCAGCGGUGAAAGUUUGUGGCUCAACCAUAAAAUUGCCGUUGAAACUGGAAGACUUGAGUGUGUUUGAGGUAGGCGGAAUGCGUGGUGUAGCGGUGAAAUGCAUAGAUAUCACGAAGAACUCCGAUUGCGAAGGCAGCUUACUAAGCCGUAACUGACACUGAAGCACGAAAGCGUGGGGAUCAAACAGGAUUAGAUACCCCUGUAGUC
rnacentral:rRNA from 1 species